GAUGAACGCUGGCGGCGUGCCUAAUACAUGCCAGUCGAGCGAACGGACGAGAAGCUUGCUUCUCUGAUGUUAGCGGCGGACGGGUGAGUAACACGUGGAUAACCUACCUAUAAGACUGGGAUAACUUCGGGAAACCGGAGCUAAUACCGGAUAAUAUUUUGAACCGCAUGGUUCAAAAGUGAAAGACGGUCUUGCUGUCACUUAUAGAUGGAUCCGCGCUGCAUUAGCUAGUUGGUAAGGUAACGGCUUACCAAGGCAACGAUGCAUAGCAGACCUGAGAGGGUGAUCGGCCACACUGGAACUGAGACACGGUCCAGACUCCUACGGGAGGCAGCAGUAGGGAAUCUUCCGCAAUGGGCGAAAGCCUGACGGAGCAACGCCGCGUGAGUGAUGAAGGUCUUCGGAUCGGAAAACUCUGUUAUUAGGGAAGAACAUAUGUGUAAGUAACUGUGCACAUCUUGACGGUACCUAAUCAGAAAGCCACGGCUAACUACGUG
rnacentral:rRNA from 1 species